UACCACGGCUGACGAGCUCCACCUGCCCGGGUUUGUUGUUCGGAGUUUGCUCUCCUAGGCAGAUUGCCUACCACGGCUGACGAGCUCCACCUGCCCGGGUUUGUUGUUCGGAGUUUGCUCUCCUAGGUGAAUUGCCUCCCACGGCUAACGAGCUCCACCUGCCCGGGUUUGUUGUUCGGAGUUUGCUCUCCUAGGUGAAUUGCCUACCACGGCUAACGACCUCCACCUGCCCGGGUUUGUUUAGAGUUUGCUCUCCUAGGUGAAUUGCCUACCACGGCUGACGAGCUCCACCUGCCCGGGUUUAUUGUUCGGAGUUUGCUCUCCUAGGUGAAUUGCCUCCCACGGCUAACGACCUCCACCUGCCCGGGUUUAUUGUUCGGAGUUUGCUCUCCUAGGUGAAUUGCCUACCACGGCUAACGACCUCCACCUGCCCGGGUUUAUUGUUCGGAGUUUGCUCUCCUAGGUGAAUUGCCUCCCACGGCUAACGACCUCCACCUGCCCGGGUUUGUAUAGAGUUUGCUCUCCUAGGUGAAUUGCCUACCACGGCUAACGACCUCCACCUGCCCGGGUUUGUAUAGAGUUUGCUCUCCUAGGUGAAUUGCCUACCACGGCUAACGAGCCUCACCUGCCCGGGUUUGUAUAGAGUUUGCUCUCCUAGGUGAAUUGCCUACCACGGCUAACGAGCCUCACCUGCCCGGGUUUGUUUAGAGUUUGCUCUCCUAGGUGAAUUGCCUUCCACGGCUAACGAGCCUCACCUGCCCGGGUUUGUUUAGAGUUUGCUCUCCUAGGUGAAUUGCCUUCCACGGCUAACGAGCCUCACCUGCCCGGGUUUGUAUAGAGUUUGCUCUCCUAGGCAGAUUGCCUACCACGGCUAACGAGCUCCACCUGCCCGGGUUUGUAGCCGGAAGAUCUCUGGCACCUCCGUCGGGGCCCGGAGGGACGCCGAGGAGCCCUGCCUGGAGCCCUCCAUUCCUGCCAUGCUCGCCAGGGAGACCUUGGGCUCGCUGGCACUCCACACCCCCGCCGAGGCGAGGAUGCAAGAACUCGCUUCUUAAAACUACUAGACUGGAUUAUAAAAUUAAUCAUAAUUACUGUGAAGGCGCCGGUCACCGCGUUUAUCGGUUCAGGGAUGGAAGACCGACGGGCCUGGGAAACGCGCACAAGCAUCCAAAGGAAUCCUCGCGAUGGCUUGCGACGCAGCAUCCAUUUCCCUUUUCUUUCUCAUUCCAAUUUUUCUUUUUUAUUAUAUUUUCCUUCUCUGAUUGAUUGAUGGAUUGAUUUUACUUGGUAGGAAUCUGCUCACCAAUUAACACCAUUCAGGUGUACAUUGCACCCACACACCUGCCGAGAGAAAACACCAGUGAGAGUGCUGACGCUCACGAGGACGGCCCGCUAGAGUUUCCUAACAUUCGCAUCGGGGCCCACUUCUCUUUAGUCGUCUGUCUCUUUAUU